AUUGAACGCUGGCGGCAGGCCUAACACAUGCAAGUCGAACGGUAACAGAAAGCAGCUUGCUGCUUUGCUGACGAGUGGCGGACGGGUGAGCAAUGUCUGGGAAACUGCCUGAGGGAGGGGGAUAACUACUGGAAACGGUAGCUAAUACCGCAUAACGUCGCAAGACCAAAGAGGGGGACCUUCGGGCCUCUUGCCAGCGGCUGUGCCCAGAUGGGAUUAGCUAGUAGGUGGGGUAACGGCUCACCUAGGCGACGAUCCCUAGCUGGUCUGAGAGGAUGACCAGCCACACUGGAACUGAGACACGGUCCAGACUCCUACGGGAGGCAGCAGUGGGGAAUAUUGCACAAUGGGCGCAAGCCUGAUGCAGCCAUGCCGCGUGUAUGAAGAAGGCCUUCGGGUUGUAAAGUACUUUCAGCGGGGAGGAAGGGAGUAAAGUUAAUACCUUUGCUCAUUGACGUUACCCGCAGAAGAAGCACCGGCUAACUCCGUG
rnacentral:rRNA from 1 species